GAUGAACGCUGGCGGCGUGCCUAAUACAUGCAAGUCGAGCGAACGGACGAGAAGCUUGCUUUUCUGAUGUUAGCGGCGGACGGGUGAGUAACACGUGGAUAACCUACCUAUAAGACUGGGAUAACUUCGGGAAACCGGAGCUAAUACCGGAUAAUAUUUUGAACCGCAUGGUUCAAAAGUGAAAGACGGUCUUGCUGUCACUUAUAGAUGGAUCCGCGCUGCAUUAGCUAGUUGGUAAGGUAACGGCUUACCAAGGCAACGAUGCAUAGCCGACCUGAGAGGGUGAUCGGCCACACUGGAACUGAGACACGGUCCAGACUCCUACGGGAGGCAGCAGUAGGGAAUCUGCCGCAAUGGGCGAAAGCCUGACGGAGCAACGCCGCGUGAGUGAUGAAGGUCUUCGGAUCGUAAAACUCUGUUAUUAGGGAAGAACAUAUGUGUAAGUAACUGUGCACAUCUUGACGGUACCUAAUCAGAAAGCCACGGCUAACUACG
rnacentral:rRNA from 1 species